rnacentral:rRNA from 1 species
GAUGAACGCUGGCGGCGUGCCUAAUACAUGCAAGUCGAGCGAACGGACGAGAAGCUUGCUUCUCUGAUGUUAGCGGCGGACGGGUGAGUAACACGUGGAUAACCUACCUAUAAGACUGGGAUAACUUCGGGAAACCGGAGCUAAUACCGGAUAAUAUUUUGAACCGCAUGGUUCAAAAGUGGAAGACGGUCUUGCUGUCACUUAUAGAUGGAUCCGCGCUGCAUUAGCUAGUUGGUAAGGUAACGGCUUACCAAGGCAACGAUGCAUAGCCGACCUGAGAGGGUGAUCGGCCACACUGGAACUGAGACACGGUCCAGACUCCUACGGGAGGCAGCAGUAGGGAAUCUUCCGCAAUGGGCGAAAGCCUGACGGAGCAACGCCGCGUGAGUGAUGAAGGUCUUCGGAUCGUAAAACUCUGUUAUUGGGGAAGAACAUAUGUGUAAGUAACUGUGCACAUCUUGACGGUACCUAAUCAGAAAGCCACGGCUAACUACGUG